rnacentral:rRNA from 1 species
AGUGAACGCUGGCGGUAGGCCUAACACAUGCAAGUCGAACGGCAGCACAGUAAGAGCUUGCUCUUACGGGUGGCGAGUGGCGGACGGGUGAGGAAUACAUCGGAAUCUACUUUUUCGUGGGGGAUAACGUAGGGAAACUUACGCUAAUACCGCAUACGACCUACGGGUGAAAGCAGUGGAUCUUCGGACCUUGCGCGAUUGAAUGAGCCGAUGUCGGAUUAGCUAGUUGGCGGGGUAAAGGCCCACCAAGGCGACGAUCCGUAGCUGGUCUGAGAGGAUGAUCAGCCACACUGGAACUGAGACACGGUCCAGAAUACUACGGGAGGCAGCAGUGGGGAAUAUUGGACAAUGGGCGCAAGCCUGAUCCAGCAAUACCGCGUGGGUGAAGAAGGCCUUCGGGUUGUAAAGCCCUUUUGUUGGGAAAGAAAAGCAGCAGGUUAAUACCCCGCUGUUAUGACGGUACCCAAAGAAUAAGCACCGGCUAACUUCGUG